AGACAUUAUUCCCGAGCCCGUUCCGUAGGAAGACGGCGAAGGGGACGCCUAAAGACUCCGUAGUUAUAUUUAUAGUUCUUAUUUUCAAGUAUCUCUUUUAGUUAGUUUGUUCUUUUAUAUUUUGAGCACGUUUUUAGUUUUUUGUGUAAGGGAUGUUAAUCAAAAUUUUAUUACGCUUCCGUAUUUGACAUUUUUAAUACACAUAUUUCAUUCUAAAUUUCCGGGGCCGUUACACUCCCCUUAUUCUUUUAACACAAUAGCCUAUGAAGAAUCUAUACUAGCAUCUUUGUGUUU
rnacentral:lncRNA from 1 species